GAUCAACGCUGGCGGCGUGCAUAACACAUGCAAGUCGAACGAUGAAGAUUAAAAGAUUUCUUCGGAAUGAACUUAAUUGGAUUAGUGGCGGGCGGGUGAUUAACGCGUGAGUAACCUGCCUUGUACAAGGGGAUAGCCGUUGGAAACGACGAAUAAUACCCUAUGACAUCAAAUAAUCGCAUGAUAAUUUGAUCAAAGAUUUAUCGGUAUAAGAUGGACUCGCGUCUGAUUAGCUAGUUGGUAGAGUAAAAGCCUACCAAGGCAACGAUCAGUAGCCGGAAUGAGGGAGUGUACGGCCACAUUGGGAGUGAGACAAGGCCCAGACACCGGCGGAAGGCAGCAGUGGGGAAUUUUGCACAAUGGGGGAAAGACUGAUGCAGCGACGCCGCGUGAUUUAGAAGGCCUGAGGGUAGUAAAAAUCUUUUGUAUGGGAAGAAAAUGACAGUACCAAACGAAUAAGGACCGGCUAAUUACGUG
rnacentral:rRNA from 1 species